UGGAGCAUGUGGUUUAAUUCGACGCAACGCGAAGAACCUUACCAGGGCUUGACAUCCCCUGACCGCGUAUGAAAGUACGUUUUCACCCUCGGGUGACAGGGGAGACAGGUGGUGCAUGGUUGUCGUCAGCUCGUGUCGUGAGAUGUUGGGUUAAGUCCCGCAACGAGCGCAACCCUCGACCUUAAUUGCCAGCAUUCAGUUGGGCACUUUAAAGAGACUGCCGGUGUUAAACCGGAGGAAGGUGGGGAUGACGUCAAGUCCUCAUGGCCUUUAUAUCCAGGGCUACACACGUGCUACAAUGGGUCGUACAAAGGGUCGCCACUCCGUGAGGAGGAGCUAAUCCCAAAAAGCGGCUCUCAGUUCGGAUCGGAGUCUGCAACUCGACUCCGUGAAGUUGGAAUCGCUAGUAAUCGUGGAUCAGCAUGCCACGGUGAAUACGUUCCCGGGCCUU
rnacentral:rRNA from 1 species